rnacentral:rRNA from 1 species
AUUGAACGCUGGUGGCAUGCUUUACACAUGCAAGUCGAACGGUAACAGGUUAAGCUGACGAGUGGCGAACGGGUGAGUAAUGCAUCGGAACGUGCCCGAUCGUGGGGGAUAACGCAGCGAAAGCUGCGCUAAUACCGCAUACGAUCUGAGGAUGAAAGCGGGGGGCCGUAAGGCCUCGCGCGAUCGGAGCGGCCGAUGUCAGAUUAGGUUGUUGGUGGGGUAAGGGCCCACCAAGCCGACGAUCUGUAGCUGGUCUGAGAGGACGACCAGCCACACUGGGACUGAGACACGGCCCAGACUCCUACGGGAGGAAGCAGUGGGGAAUUUUGGACAAUGGGCGAAAGCCCGAUCCAGCAAUGCCGCGUGCAGGAAGAAGGCCUUCGGGUUGUAAACUGCUUUUGUACGGAGCGAAAAGGUCCUUUCUAAUACAAGGGGCUCAUGACGGUACCGUAAGAAUAAGCACCGGCUAACUACGUGCCAGCCGCCGCCGUAA